CAGCAGCCGCGGUAAUACGUAGGGUGCAAGCGUUAAUCGGAAUUACUGGGCGUAAAGCGUGCGCAGGCGGUUCUAUAAGACAGAUGUGAAAUCCCCGGGCUCAACCUGGGAACUGCAUUUGUGACUGUAGAGCUGGAGUGCGGCAGAGGGGGAUGGAAUUCCGCGUGUAGCAGUGAAAUGCGUAGAUAUGCGGAGGAACACCGAUGGCGAAGACAAUCCCCUGGGCCUGCACUGACGCUCAUGCACGAAAGCGUGGGGAGCAAACAGGAUUAGAUACCCGAGUAGUCCCUGUCUCUUAUAA
rnacentral:rRNA from 1 species